AGUGAACGCUGGCGGUAGGCCUAACACAUGCAAGUCGAACGGCAGCACAGUAAGAGCUUGCUCUUACGGGUGGCGAGUGGCGGACGGGUGAGGAAUACAUCGGAAUCUACUUUUUCGUGGGGGAUAACGUAGGGAAACUUACGCUAAUACCGCAUACGACCUACGGGUGAAAGCAGGGGAUCUUCGGACCUUGCGCGAUUGAAUGAGCCGAUGUCGGAUUAGCUAGUUGGGGGGGUAAAGGCCCACCAAGGCGACGAUCCGUAGCUGGUCUGAGAGGAUGAUCAGCCACACUGGAACUGAGACACGGUCCAGACUCCUACGGGAGGCAGCAGUGGGGAAUAUUGGACAAUGGGCGCAAGCCUGAUCCAGCCAUACCGCGUGUGUGAAGAAGGCCUUCGGGUUGUAAAGCCCUUUUGUUGGGAAAGAAAAGCAGCAGGUUAAUACCCCGCUGUUCUGACGGUACCCAAAGAAUAAGCACCGGCUAACUUCGUG
rnacentral:rRNA from 1 species